GACUUUCUUUCCGUGCUUACAGAUUUAGGCCUUUUUUAGACGAUGAAAAGACAAUAUUACCCCUUCUCACAUCACACAAUUGAUCGUCUCUUUCUCUCGACACAACUCUGGUUUCUCACUUUGUCGACUCAGCCAUAGAAAAGAGCCAAUGAUCUAAUAAUCUUCUCCCUCCAACUACACACAACCAUGAUCCCCCCCCUCCCCCCCCAAAGGAAUUAGCUCUUCAAAAAGCCAAUAAAGAGAAGGUUAUGGAGAAAGAUGGACAAGGUAGAAGAGAAAGAGAGUUUCAAAUUCUCAGGUUCGUUGUGGGUCAGCAAACUUACACUUCAUGUCUCUCUAAUUCAAAGGAAGCCUUCUGAGAAUCGCCAGAAUUUGAGAGGUGUCAAAACUGCAAGGAACUUGUUCAUAAGGUAAGUUGGCUUUCACAUCAUGUGUGGCAUCAAUAUGAUGUUUGCAAAGGCAGAGACGUUCUGGAAGAAGUAGCAACUUCAGACUAUCUUAACCCCUAUUUCCCCAUGUCAAUGCUUCUUCUUCUACUUUUGUUAAAACAUGAAACAAUAUGUAAACUUCUUCUUCUACUGUGUUGGGGAAACAGGAAACAAUAUGUAAACUUAUUCUCGCUCUCAGAUUCAAUCAAAUAAAUUUGAGGUUAUCA